UCACUGAGCGAAAGGUUCACCGAAUACGGCUUUCUCCGGAGAAAUUUUCGAUGCGCCUGAAUCGCUUGGUGGCGGAUACGAGACCGGAAACCCGCGGGGCAUCAACAUGGGAUCGAUGCCGGGUCUUCAUCCACAAAUGCCAAGUGGCUCCUACGGAAGCCAGAUGGGAUUCCAGCCUUUCCAUCAGCUUCAACCGCUGAAUCGGUACGCCCUAGGUAACGCUUUGUUCCGGGCUACGAACGCCAUGGUGAAUAACGGAGAACCAGUGUACGGAGAUGGACUUUACGGCGGUGCUUUUGGAAACCAUGGGAGUCCUGUAGCAUUGGAGGCCCACGAGAAUGCGGAUUUGUCUAUUAAAGGUCAAAGCCGACUAAAUUCAAGACGGAAGCGAAGUCCACAAGGGUGGGAACAAGUUCAAUACGAUGGCAGAGCUUCAGAGACCAAAGGACGCAAAGGGAGAAGACGUAGGCCAGCUUUUCAACUAGCAUCUCCGGGCCAAACAAGUCGGAAUGGGCAGCAGGUGCUCGGAAAACUGAAUCGCUGCCCAGGGAAAAAUGCAAUUAAAUUAAACUUAAACGUUACACCCGAGAAAUAAGAGAACGUCAUUAAUUUACUCUCACUGCUUUACGCACAACGCCUUUUGUCCGCUGGUGGCAAACUUUACCCUGAUGGAUUGCGUCAUAGCUGCUGGUGCGGCACUUCUUUAAGUGUAUCACAGCACCUCCGACGUCUCUUGUCUUUAAAGCAGAAACAUACCAAUUGUUUUGGUGCAAUUGUGAAAGAAUGCAAAUGACUCGAAUGUCUGAGCAUUGCGCAAUUGUAAAAGAAGUGAAUUUGAUCUUGUGCACAACCCGACAAUGCAUCGUUCAGGAUUCAAUAAACAUGUGUCGAA
rnacentral:lncRNA from 1 species